rnacentral:lncRNA from 1 species
GUUUCAGUUCUUAUUUCUGAUACUUGACUUCAACUGAUCAAUGCAAAUAUCUCCAAACCAGGAUGAAAAGAAGACGGCCUCUGUUGUAGACAGCUGUCCCAAGACUCCUGACCAGACCUGUAUUCUCACCUUAUAUCUCCUCAUAUGAAUCUUCCAGUGUGUCGUCUCUGCUAAAGCACGUGAAACAGCAGGCGAAUGUCUUAAGUGAUCCUACAUCCGGUCUUCAUUUGUUUGCUGGGCUCUCUUCAGCUAAAAGUGAUCCAUAUUCCUUGAACCCUGGUCACUAAGGAAGCAGAAGGCAGAAAGCAGGGUAUCUUUGGAACCAAAACCUCCUGCCGUAUGGCCAGGGGAAGAGGCCGUGGUGGAGAGGAGCAGAGAGAACCUUUCGUCCUGCAAGUGGGUGUUUUGUUUGGAGGAGAACUGGCUGGCUGUCACCUGAAGAAUCACCUGCAAGCCCCGGGAGCUGCCGCGGGGAUACUGAACAGUGGGAACCACUGCUCUGUCGGAUUUGAGGGCAUCUGCAGGUGUUGCAAUGGGGUACUGUGUUGUGUUUCAAAAUAAUUUCCUC